ACUGCUACUAUCAUCUACCUUAGGAUGCAAAGGCUCAAAAGGCAGUAACUACUUUCUAUUUGCUUUAUAUCGUACCUCAUAUCUCAGUUUAGAUGUAUACCUAUAAAAGGAAUAAUAAAUCCAGUGGAUAGAAGAGUGCCAAUGGCAUAUAAUGCCUAAUUUGAACACUGAAGGAAAUUCUCUGGAUAUAAACACAAUGCGUGAGGAGAUUUAAGUGAAACAUGGCAAAAUGUAGAAGGAUGGCAGAUGGAUGAACCCAGGGAAAAGGGGGAAGUUCUUGGAGUCUAGGUGUCAGUGGCAUCUUCUGAAAAGCAGAGCACAGCACAAGACAAAGAGAAUCCCAGUCUACAGGAAGGCCAAGUGGCCACGGCUACAGCAAACAGGAUCAUCCAAUUCUUGACUGCGGGGACUAGGUCCCGACUGCCUCUGGGAGUUAUUAGAAAGGAGACACACUCUGGAUUUAGAAAGACCCAUGUUUGACCCCUACUUCUGUCUAUUACUAGCCAUUUGACCUUGGAAAAUUUCCUUUACCUCCCUGAUCUUCCAUUUCUUCGUCUGUAAGACAAUCCUUCCCUCACAGGGUUGUUUCAAGGGUUAGAAAUGAUUUAUCCUCAUGGAUGGCAUACAAGAGGAGGUCACCGUUAUUGUGACCACCAUCAUUGUGAACGAUGAGGGAGAACAUUAAGGACUUCCCUGUCCCCCAGUAAUAUUCUGGGGUCUCAGACACAUGACUGGAGCUUCUGGGUUCUUGUGAGUCUUCUCAGGCCAAUAAAUGACCAAUAAAUCUAUAUCGUCUCUCAAAGUGAAAGAAAGGAUUCUUCACCCCGCCCCCAUGAUUCAGUUUGGAAAUCUUUUAGAUUGAAAAUGACAGAAAACCCAAUUUAAACUGGCUUAAGCAAGAGGGAACUUUGUUAGCUCACAUAACUGGAAAGGCCACAGAAAUGCUGGUUUCAGGACCAGCUAGAUUUGAGGUUUAAUCCCAGGUUUCAGGGAUCUCUCUCCUUCCCUGAUUCUGCUUCCCAUCCUCCAGGUUGGAUGUAGAGUGUGGUAAAACUUUACAGGAAAGAAGAAGACUAUUGACAGCUACAGCUUCACACAUUCUGCUCUCAGCAACACCAUGAAAAUAUUCCCUUGCUGGUCACUCCUGGAAAAGUCAGAGACUUGUGCUGCUUGGACCAACUUGGCUCCCAUUCCCGUCUUUGAACCAAUCCUCAGGACCAAUGCAAGGAAACUAUAUGGGUGAGUUUAGGCCUGGGUCCCACACCUAGCCCUAGGAGUAAAUUCAGCCCCACCUAAACCAUGUGAACAGAGAGUGGAGGAGGGUCUCUGAGAAAAAGAGAAGUGUUAUUAGCAGAAGAAGAAAAUGGAUGCUGGCAGACAAAAGCAACAGAUGCAUAACACAGGCCCUAAAUAACAUCAGGGAAAACAAUAAUAACCAGCAUUAAUUACCCCAUUUAAUCCUUAUAAUAAUGAUGCAAUGUAUAUAUUAUUAUUAUUAUUCUCAUUUAGCAGAUGAUGAAACUGAGAUAAAGAGAUGCUAAACAAUUUAUGUGAAGUCAUGACACUAGUGAAUGUCAGGGCUGAGAGUUGAACUCAAGCCAUUUGACUCAAGAGUCUGCGCGUACUCUGAUGAGCUGAAUAAUGACACCCAAAGAUGUCCAGGUCCUAAUCCCUGGAACCUGUGAAUAUAUUAUCCUAUAUGGCAAAAGGGACUUUGCAGAUGUGAUUAAGUAUUUGAGAUGGGGAGACUCUCUUGAAUUAUCCCAAUGGGCUCAAACUGUAAUCACAAGGGUUCUAAUAAGAAGGAGACAGAGCAAGAUUUGAUUACAGAGAGGAGAAGGCAAUGUGAUGAUGGAAGCAAAGAUGGAAGUGAUACACUUUGAAAAUGAAGGAAGAGACCACAAGCCAAAGAGUACAAGUGGCCUUUAGAAGCUGGAAAAUACAAGGAAACGUUCUCUUUUAGAAGAAACCAGUCCUGCUGACAUCUUUGCUUUAGCCUAGUGGAACUGACUUUUGAUUUCUCACCUCCAGAACUUGCAAGAAUAAAAUUUGUUGUCUUAAGCCAUUAAAUUUGUGAUAAUUUGUUACAGCAGCCAUGAGAAAAUAAUACACUUAUCACGCCAGCAUACAUACAUUCACACACACACACACGUGCAUGCACACACACACAUGCACACAUACACACACACCCCCAUCAGAACAAAUGCCUUUACAGAGUUGAGUGCCCUAGAGAGAGCCCUCAGGAAGCAAUAUGCGUCCAGAGAAAAAGUGGUGGUGUGCUGUGUAUCUUCCACAUGUCCCUCCGGAUCUUCUCUGAGCUUUCUCCACCCUCUUCUCUACCAGAAGGCUUAUAAGUAUGGAUAAUACUAACUGGUUCCCGAGCCCUGUGUCUUUCAGCUGGGUUUCCCAGUGGGGCAUACCAGCAGUACACCAAAAAGGAGGAAGAGAGUGAUGCUUGAGUAUAUAUUUCUUCAGUUUACAAUCUGACCAAGGGCUGGCUGCAUUUGAUGACUGAAGUCCACAGCUCCUAUGGGGGAGUUCUUUCCACACAACUGCAUCUUUUCUGGUUCCUGUAAGCACAUAAUCUCCUGCAUAAUCUCCUGGCUUAUGAAUGUGAUGGACUUCCCAUGAUUAGGUUAUAUUACUUGGCACAGUUGACCUUAAGAAAAAGGGACGUGCAGGUGGGCCUGGCAUUAUCAGGUGAACCUUAACAGAGUCUGGGCUCUUCCUGAGGAAAAGAUUAGAAGCAUGAGAGGAAUUAAUCUUGAGGGAGACUCUCCACUGCUGGCUUUGGAAAGGGAGGGUCCCACAUGGCACGGAUUGCAGGCAGCCUCUGGGAACCAAGAACUGCACAUGUGGGGCUGUUGUGAGAAUUAAAUGAGAUGAAGUAGCUAAGGCCCUUUGUGGGUCUUCAAUAAAUAUUCAUUCCCUUCUGCCAUUUUUAGGCCAUUUUCUAUGUCCACGAGAGCGGCUAGCACAACAGUAUAAGCUCAUUGCUGCAUCAAAUAAAACAAAUUAAAAAAUCCAUACAUUGGCUGUCUGAGUGAUGGAGAAGAAGGCAACCAAUAGCAUGGAAGUAAUUUAAUUAUCACACACAGCAAUGGUGUCAGCAGAAGACAGACCUAACAACAGUUCCCCCAGAUAUAAGCCAGCCAGAAAGAUGCUAAUGAAUAACAUGGUAAAAGCAUCGGGGGCGGCCUGGUGGCGCAGCGGUUAAGUUCGCACGUUCUGCUUCAGCAGCCCGGGGUUCGCCAGUUUGGAUCUUGGGUGCAGACGUACGCACUGCUUGUCAAGCCGUGCUGUGGCAGGCAUCCCACAUAUAAAGUAGAGGAAGAUGGGCACAGAUGUUAGCUCAGGGCUGAUCUUCCUAAAAAAAAAAAAA
ensembl:lncRNA